UGAACGCUAUCGACAGGCUUAACACAUGCAAGUCGAGGGGCAGCACAGGUAGCAAUACCGGGUGGCGACCGGCGCACGGGUGAGUAACGCGUAUGCAACUUACCUAUCAGAGGGGGAUAACCCGGCGAAAGUCGGACUAAUACCGCAUGAAGCAGGGGCCCCGCAUGGGGAUAUUUGCUAAAGAUUCAUCGCUGAUAGAUAGGCAUGCGUUCCAUUAGGCAGUUGGCGGGGUAACGGCCCACCAAACCGACGAUGGAUAGGGGUUCUGAGAGGAAGGUCCCCCACAUUGGUACUGAGACACGGACCAAACUCCUACGGGAGGCAGCAGUGAGGAAUAUUGGUCAAUGGCCGAGAGGCUGAACCAGCCAAGUCGCGUGAGGGAUGAAGGUUCUAUGGAUCGUAAACCUCUUUUAUAAGGGAAUAAAGUGCGGGACGUGUCCCGUUUUGUAUGUACCUUAUGAAUAAGGAUCGGCUAACUCCGUGCCAGCAGCCGCGGUAAUACGGAGGAUCCGAGCGUUAUCCGGAUUUAUUGGGUUUAAAGGGUGCGUAGGCGGCCUUUUAAGUCAGCGGUGAAAGUCUGUGGCUCAACCAUAGAAUUGCCGUUGAAACUGGGGGGCUUGAGUAUGUUUGAGGCAGGCGGAAUGCGUGGUGUAGCGGUGAAAUGCAUAGAUAUCACGCAGAACCCCGAUUGCGAAGGCAGCCUGCCAAGCCAUUACUGACGCUGAUGCACGAAAGCGUGGGGAUCAAACAGGAUUAGAUACCCUGGUAGUCCACGCAGUAAACGAUGAUCACUAGCUGUUUGCGAUACACUGUAAGCGGCACAGCGAAAGCGUUAAGUGAUCCACCUGGGGAGUACGCCGGCAACGGUGAAACUCAAAGGAAUUGACGGGGGCCCGCACAAGCGGAGGAACAUGUGGUUUAAUUCGAUGAUACGCGAGGAACCUUACCCGGGUUUGAACGCAUUCGGACCGAGGUGGAAACACCUUUUCUAGCAAUAGCCGUUUGCGAGGUGCUGCAUGGUUGUCGUCAGCUCGUGCCGUGAGGUGUCGGCUUAAGUGCCAUAACGAGCGCAACCCUUGCCACUAGUUACUAACAGGUAAAGCUGAGGACUCUGGUGGGACUGCCAGCGUAAGCUGCGAGGAAGGCGGGGAUGACGUCAAAUCAGCACGGCCCUCACAUCCGGGGCGACACACGUGUUACAAUGGCGUGGACAAAGGGAGGCCACCUGGCGACAGGGAGCGAAUCCCCAAACCACGUCUCAGUUCGGAUCGGAGUCUGCAACCCGACUCCGUGAAGCUGGAUUCGCUAGUAAUCGCGCAUCAGCCAUGGCGCGGUGAAUACGUUCCCGGGCCUUGUACACACCGCCCGUCAAGCCAUGGGAGCCGGGGGUACCUGAAGUCCGUAACCGAAAGGAUCGGCCUAGGGUAAAACUGGUGACUGGGGC
rnacentral:rRNA from 1 species